CGCUCUCACUCAUUUCACCACCGUCCAG
rnacentral:ribozyme from 1 species